rnacentral:rRNA from 1 species
GGUGCGAGCGUUGUCCGGAAUUACUGGGCGUAAAGAGCUCGUAGGUGGUUUGUCGCGUUGUUCGUGAAAUCUCACGGCUUAACUGUGAGCGUGCGGGCGAUACGGGCAGACUAGAGUACUGCAGGGGAGACUGGAAUUCCUGGUGUAGCGGUGGAAUGCGCAGAUAUCAGGAGGAACACCGGUGGCGAAGGCGGGUCUCUGGGCAGUAACUGACGCUGAGGAGCGAAAGCGUGGGGAGCGAACAGGAUUAGAUACCCUGGUAGUCCACGCCGUAAACGGUGGGUACUAGGUGUGGGUUUCCUUCCUUGGGAUCCGUGCCGUAGCUAACGCAUUAAGUACCCCGCCUGGGGAGUACGGCCGCAAGGCUAAAACUCAAAGGAAUUGACGGGGGCCCGCACAAGCGGCGGAGCAUGUGGAUUAAUUCGAUGCAACGCGAAGAACCUUACCUGGGUUUGACAUGCACAGGACGCGUCUAGAGAUAGGCGUUCCCUUGUGGCCUGUGUGCAGGUGGUGCAUGGCUGGCGUCGGCUCGUGUCGUGAGAUGCUUGGGUUAAGUCCCGCGAACGAGCGCAACCCUUGUCUCAUGUUGCCAGCGGGUAAUGCCGGGGACUCGUGAGAGACUGCCGGGGUCAACUCGGAGGAAGGUGGGGAUGACGUCAAGUCAUCAUGCCCCUUAUGUCCAGGGCUUCACACAUGCUACAAUGGCCGGUACAAAGGGUGAUCCGUAAGGUAACGAAUCCUUUUAAAGCCGGUCUCAGUUCGGAUUGGGGUCUGCAACUGACCCCAUGAAGUCGGAGU